rnacentral:rRNA from 1 species
UACGGGGGGAGCAAGCGUUUGUUCGGAUUUACUGGGCGUAAAGGGCGCGUAGGCGGUCGUGACAAGUCACUUGUGAAAUCUCCGGGCUUAACUCGGAACGGUCAAGUGAUACUGUCGGACUAGAGUACAGAAGGGGCAACUGGAAUUCCUGGUGUAGCGGUGAAAUGCGCAGAUAUCAGGAGGAACACCAAUGGCGAAGGCAGCUCACUGGGACGGUAUUGACGCUGGAGACGCGAAAAGCGUGGGGAGCAAACAGG